rnacentral:rRNA from 1 species
UGGGGAAUUUUUCGCAAUGGGGGAAACCCUGACGAAGCAACGCCGCGUGGAGGAUGAAGGCCUUCGGGUCGUAAACUCCUGUCGACCGGGACGAAAGUAGUCCGACCCAAUACGUCGGGCUAUCGACUGUAACGGUGGAGGAAGCCACGGCUAACUCUGUGCCAGCAGCCGCGGUAAUACAGAGGUGGCAAGCGUUGUUCGGAAUUACUGGGCGUAAAGGGCGCGUAGGCGGCCUUGCAAGUCCUGCGUGAAAUCCCUCGGCUCAACUGAGGAAUUGCACGGGAAACUGUUUGGCUUGAGUUCGGGAGAGGGAAGCGGAAUUCCGGGUGUAGCGGUGAAAUGCGUAGAUAUCCGGAGGAACACCGGUGGCGAAGGCGGCUUCCUGGACCGACACUGACGCUGAGGCGCGAAAGCUAGGGGAGCAAACGGG